GUAGCCAUUUUAGGAGGAAACCCGGGUCGCCGGCUUGGGGCGCGGCUUCAAUUUCAACAACUUUAUUGGUCUCUCUGUACGCCGAACAGCCGGCGUGCGUGUGGCCCCGGGAUCCCGGAGCGCAUCGCUAGAGCGCGGCAGGUUGCCCCCGACUCGAACCGCAGCCAUGGGAAACACCACCAGCGAGAGGGUGUCCGGGGAGCGCCACGGUGCCAAGGCUGCGCGAGCCGAGGGCGGCGGCCAUGGCCCGGGCAAGGAGCACAAGAUCAUGGUGGGGAGCACCGACGACCCCAGCGUCUUCAGCCUGCCCGACUCCAAGCUCCCUGGGGACAAAGAGUUUGUACCCUGGCAGCAGGACUUGGAUGAUUCUGUGAAGCCCACCCAGCAGGCCCGGCCCACCGUUAUCCGCUGGUCUGAAGGAGGCAAGGAGGUCUUCAUCUCUGGGUCUUUCAACAACUGGAGCACUAAGAUUCCACUGAUUAAGAGUCAUAAUGACUUUGUUGCCAUCCUGGAUCUUCCAGAGGGAGAACACCAGUACAAAUUCUUUGUGGAUGGACAGUGGGUUCAUGAUCCAUCAGAGCCUGUGGUUACCAGUCAGCUUGGCACAAUUAAUAAUUUGAUCCAUGUCAAGAAAUCUGAUUUUGAAGUAUUCGAUGCUUUGAAGUUGGACUCCAUGGAGAGCUCUGAGACGUCCUGCCGAGACCUGUCCAGCUCACCCCCAGGACCUUAUGGUCAAGAAAUGUAUGUGUUCCGAUCUGAAGAGAGAUUCAAGUCCCCACCCAUCCUGCCCCCUCACCUACUCCAAGUUAUUCUUAACAAGGACACUAAUAUUUCAUGUGACCCGGCCUUACUUCCUGAGCCCAACCAUGUUAUGCUAAACCAUCUCUAUGCGCUGUCCAUUAAGGCUAUUGGAUUUUAAACCCCAGUCUCUGCCUGUGUUUAGGCUAACUGAACUGUCAGUGAUGGGGACCUUCUGCUUCCCAGUGUCUGUGAGUGGCUGGACCCUUAGUACCAUCCAUUUACUUAAGCUUGAGUUCAUACUAGUUGGAUUCUACGUGCUGAAAAUCAGGUUUAACUUCCUUCAAAAAAUGCCUGAACAAGACAGUAAAACUUGUUAAAAUGUGGACUCGAGCUGCGUUGAGAUGUCCUACUUGUGUGUCCCCAGGCAUUUCCAUCCCUUUACAGUAGGUAGGCAGGCAGUGUGACCAGAUGUGCUGUGUCCUUCUCACCCCUGCCCUAGAGUUCUUAGUUUCUCUGUUGUCUUAAUGUCUUUGUGGCUUGACCAUUAGCAUAAAGUAUGUAGUUGUGUGGCUGGCUAAGCUGACCUCGUGGGAACUGCUUGGAGAAGUUGGUGAACGUCAGAUUGAGAAGUCUCCUCCCAGAUAUUCUAAGUAAGUGUACCUAGGGUGACUCCCAGCAGUUUCUCUGGAAGCUGCUUAGAUUUCUUAGAUGUGCAGUGAGAACAGGGAGGUCACUGAUAGAGCUGACUUUAAUAGAUUAUGUAGGUGUAUAUAAAAUUUUAAUAUACUGGAUUGCAUUUUCCUAGUAACCUGGAGAGGUAAGUAUUAUUUUUAACCCCUGUUUUAUAGAUAAAGAAACUAAGGCUCAGAGAAGGUCAGAUUGCCAGACAGCGUGAUGGUCCUUAGUGCAACCCAUCGCUACAAGAAGAAGUAUGUCACCACCUUGCUGUAUAAGCCCAUUUGAAGAGGACAUCUCUCCUUGCCUCCAAGGAUUCUGGAGUAACAUCUCCCUUGCCUUUGAACUGACCCGGUCUCCUCUGAAACUGGAAGGCUGAUUUGUGUUGAGGCUGAUACGUGUGUUUCAGAGCCUCUAAGUAGAGGGCUCUGCUUUUGCAUUUGAUUGCAGAUGAGAGCUUUAUGAGUUCAUGGAGUUUAUUUUAAGAAAAACAAAACCACAUAUAUGCAUAUGAGAAGAAGGUUACUGGGAGCCUCCUAGCCCAGCUGUUUAGGUUCUCUCUGCCUGUGGGUAGUUGCCAGGGCCUGAGGGGGAAGCUGCGGCCGCAGGAAUGAGUGUACCGGAAGCUUCUUUUCCUAAAGUGAAAGAAUAGCAAACUCUUAGGAUCCUUGUCAGGCAGAGGUUCUGCCGCUGUACCCUGGUGUCAAAGGGUCAGCUGUGUGCCAGGCUGCAGCCCUUCCUUACAGCUGCCUCAUCGCAGGGUGGCUUUCCUUGCAUGGAUUGAUUCUGUAUUCCCACAGUAUGUGACACAGUCUACUGUGUUUUUAUAUGACACUAGAUGCCCCACAAGAACGCUCCACAUUUUAUGUUCUCUGUGAAGUAGUUUCCCUCAGAUCUCAUAUAUGACCCUCUGGAAAGUUGUAUGGGAUUAGACUCACCUCAGAGACUGGAGGUGCCAGGGCCUCCUUUUUAGCCCAGCGCGGGCCCAACCUGGUUUGUUACAGCUCACCUUAACGUGUAAAGAAAAGCCGUGGUUCAGUAUCAAGAGAGAUGCAGAUCUUCUGUGUGGUCCUAUGUACUGGGUGCAUGGCACGUGCUCACAGGGCUUCUCCUGGGCCUGGCCCUGUUUCCUGCUGCUUUUUAUCACAGCAGAUGGUUUGUGAUAUAGAAUUAGGGAACCUUCCAUAUCUUUUAUCCCUGAAAGAGUUUUAUGUGCCUAUGUUUUUCUUUAAUAAUAUAAAGAAGCAUAUCCAUCAGUGUUAAUGUCUAUUAAAGAAGCUCAGGCUUUUGACAAAUGGUUCUUAAUAUUUUCUUCUCCAGUCUAGGGAAUUCUACAGUCCUGGGUCAAUAUGAUCAGCCAUGUGUACCUCAUUACCCAAGCACUACUUUUGACAUGAGUUCCUGCAGGCUCAUUAGACGCACAUACUAGCUGUCCCUACCUUUAAAGAUGUGUGAGGUGAGGAACUAUCCCUGGUAUUUAUAACCAUGCACAGUGUUGUUCUUUGCACCAAGUUUUAACGGGAUGUUUUAUUCUUUUGCCUCUUUCAAAUGUGUUCGACAAUGGAGUGGGUCAUUGAUUAUCAUGGACUGAAAAGUACUUGGCCCACUCAGGUUUCAGAGAAAAUAUUUUCUCCAAGUAUCUGGACACUUCCGUUUUGCAGAUAAAUGCAAGUCAAGCAUUAGUUGUUUAUGGCUGAGAGACUUCGUGUUUGCUAAGAUGAGCCAGCCACUCUGAGGGACCUGCAGGUUAGUUUAGCUACCUCCUGACUUUCCCACCCAUUGGCACAGAUGUCCUCUUUGGAUUCUGAGACCCCUUUGAUCACAAGUGUGAAGCCAUAAGAUGGGAUGUUUCACAGUGGAUACAGAUUGCUAAAUGUCUUGGUAGGUAAUUGGUGGGGUAAGUACGACUUCCUCCAUCCUGAGCCACUUCUCCCUCCUCUCUUGUGGAGAACUUGUACUGUCCAGCCAACUUUCUGGAGAGUGUGCUCCUUUGGAAACUAAGGUCUAAUCCUGUCGUAACCAACUCGGAGGCCUUGGGCUCUACUGGAAAGCUUUUUGUUUUGUUUCCCAGUGCCCAUCUAGAAGUGGGCCACGGAGGAGGAGCGGUCUUGGUUUUUACACAGUGGCUUCUCUUAUAUCUGUCCUUGUUAACAUACGAGCUGGAAUCCUCUGUGUGUUCGUGGAUUAAAUUUUACUCCACACGGGUGUAGCAGUAGAAGGGUUGGGAAACAGUCUCCAGUUGCGGGCUGAGGCUGUCUUAUCAGGUGUGGCGGUGAUGACAGGGUUUUGGUGCUGGUGACCUUCACAUCCUUCUCAUCUGGAAACGAUUGCCCCUGCUUCUCAAGUCUGCUGGUCCCCUCCCUGGGGAGCUCUGUCAUUGUCACCAGGACACAGUUGUAAAGGGGACAGAGGAGGUCACUGCUUUUCUAUUAGUUACCUUAAGGGACAGUUUUCUACAGUCAAAAGGUUAGUAGAAUUUGGAAAUAAGGCAAAAACAUUUUAGUCUUCUUAAAUUUCCUUUUUCUCUUCACCUAUGGGAAUUGUGCAGUCAGGGUUGGUAGAGUAAAGCAGCCCCGAAGAAGGGCCACCUACCUCCUAGCCAGCUGUGAUGCCCGUUGGGGGUUGUGAGGAAAUGAAAGUAAUGAAUGAGCUGAGGAGUGGUACCAGGAAGCUGAAGGAUCAAGUAACUGGGAAGUGAAAAUAUCCUCUUUAAAAGAAAAAAAAAUUAAAGCUGGGCACAGCCUGGAUCCUUGGAUUUCAUUGUACAGAAACCUUAGCAGCCUGUAAAAUGUCUUCUCUCAGCCUCUUGCUGCACCUGUCCUCUGCCUUUCCUCUGCAUUCUAUUUGAUGUCGUUGGUCAGUAAGACAAGUUCACCAGGGUCUCAAAUCAAAUGCUACCCAAAACACAGGUUUGUGGCUUCACCUGGGUGAAAAACUUUCAUACAAUAGCUGUAAAUCCGCUUCCUGUCAACCUAGACUUGAGUAGGGUUUAGUAGGUAACACUCCCGCAGGGCACAUCUAGCUUCAAGAGCACUGGCCUCUCAAGUGUGAAGUACAAAGGAGAAGCCAGGUCCCUGAGAGGAACCCUGACCCACUCCUAUUGGCUUUGGUUUCUUGUCGACCUAAUGGAUCUUCCAUAAAUUUUUUGAAAGGUGUCAGUAUUCCAUGCAUGCUGCUGAAGGGAAGGGAAGGGAAAGUGGGGAAACGGGGCUUUAAAUGUUUGACCUCAAAACAAUAUGGUGUGUGUGGUAGCCGCUCUUCUCAGAGAUACUUUUGUCCCCGCGUUCUUGUGAUUUGGGGCUUAAGAAAGCAGAUAACUAUUUUGUUCCUGUAUUACAACUCAUGCUCAAAGCCGAGCCCUUGCCAUCUUCUGUCGGACUGCAGACUCCAGUUACUCUGAAGAGGAGACCUGGCAGGAGUGAGGGUCUUCCAGAACUCUCUGGUCUAGGCAUUUGUCUGUCAUUUAGUGACCGUCACAGCUGGAGACUGAAGGACUGAUUUCUGCAGUGAACUUAGGAAGUGUUUGGGAUAAAAAGCCCAAUCUUUUUAUUUUUUUUUUUCAAUUAUGGGGAAGAAGAAAAAGUCUCAAGUCAGCUACUUGUAGGAUGUGCUCCCUCUUGGAGUCUAAGCUGGACUUCAUCUCCACGUGUGUUUCUCACUAGUGUUUUGAAGUAAACAAGCUUCAUUAAAAGUAAAACACUGAGUAGUUCCAACAGAAUUGUGUGUGGCACAGUACUUUUUCAUUAAGAUUGGUGUGAAAACUAAAUAUUAGGUACUUGUGGGUGUCAGAUUAUACAGUUGGGGACACAUACAGGAAGAGUUGUAUCAGGUGUUGGCCAUAUUUUGUUCCCCUCGGUAGAGCGCCUUUGGCAGCUUAUCAUUCUAGGCCAGCCCGAUACCAGUGUUAAUUCGUCCUAAGUUCUGUACUGGGUGGCCCGUCUGAGACUGAAUUCGGCGGGUGUUGGUGGUUUCCCCUCUCGCACUUUGUUGUGCAGCGGGAGUGAUGGAUGCAGAGACGGUUCCAUGCGCAUGGGUCUCUUCACCGGUGCUGUGUGUGGCCUUUGAUGCUGACAUGCAAAGCUGCUUCAGUUCUCAACUCGGCAGUGACCUGCCUGAAAACUGUAUAAUGGGACAUAAAAAUGUGGGUUUGUUUUGUCCAUAAAACUGUCUAAUAAAAGCAUUAUACAGCGAUUA